rnacentral:pre_miRNA from 9 species
AACCGCAUGCGAUAAUAGUAUUAUCCCGUGCGGCUGUCCUAAGCGGACUGCACGGGAUGAUCUAUUAUCCCGUGCGGCC